rnacentral:tRNA from 1 species
GAGGGUAUAGCUCAGUGGUAGAGUGCAUACCUAACACACAGGAGGUCCUGGGUUCAAUCCCCAGUAACUUUG